rnacentral:rRNA from 1 species
UACAGAGGGUGCAAGCGUUAAUCGGAAUUACUGGGCGUAAAGCGCGCGUAGGCCGUCGAGUAAGUCGGAUGUGAAAUCCCCGGGCUUAACCUGGGAAUUGCAUUCGAUACUGCUUGACUAGAGUGUGGAAGAGGGAAGCGGAAUUUCCGGUGUAGCGGUGAAAUGCGUAGAUAUCGGAAGGAACACCAGUGGCGAAGGCGGCUUCCUGGUCCAACACUGACGCUGAGGCACGAAAGCGUGGGGAGCGAACAGG